rnacentral:rRNA from 1 species
AUUGAACGCUGGCGGCAGGCCUAACACAUGCAAGUCGAACGAGUGGCGGAAGGGUGAGUAAUGUCUGGGAAACUGCCUGAUGGAGGGGGAUAACUACUGGAAACGGUAGCUAAUAACGCAUACCAUCGGAUGUGCCCAGAUGGGAUUAGCGAGUAGGUGGGGUAAAGGGGCACCUAGGCGACGGUCCCUAGCUGGUCUGAGAGGAGGACAACCCACACUGGAACUGAGACACCGUCCAAACUCCUACGGGAGGCAGCAGUGGGGAAUAUUGCACAAUGGGCGAAAGCCUGAUGCAGCCAUGCCGCGUGUAUGAAGAAGGCCUUCGGGUUGUAAAGUACUUUCAGCGGGGAGGCGUUACCCGCAGAAGAAGCACCGGCUAACUCCGUGCCAGCAGCCGCGGUAAUUC